rnacentral:rRNA from 1 species
UACGGAGGGUGCAAACGUUGGUCGGAAUCAUUGGGCGUAAAGGGCGCGUAGGUGGCGAUGUAUGUCUGAUGUGAAGGCCCGGGGCUUAACUCCGGAAGUGCGUCGGAAACUGCAUCACUUGAGUCUCGGAGAGGAUAACGGAAUUCCUGGUGUAGAGGUGAAAUUCGUAGAUAUCAGGAGGAACACCGGUGGCGAAGGCGGUUAUCUGGACGAAGACUGACGCUGAGGCGCGAAAGCGUGGGGAGCAAACAGG